rnacentral:rRNA from 1 species
UACCAGCACCCCGAGUGGUCGGGACGAUUAUUGGGCCUAAAGCAUCCGUAGCCGGUCCUACAAGUCUUCCGUUAAAUCCACCUGCUUAACAGAUGGGCUGCGGAAGAUACUAUAGGGCUAGGAGGCGGGAGAGGCAAGCGGUAACUCAGUGGGUAGGGGUAAAAUCCUCUGAUCCAUUGAAGACCACCAGUGGCGAAGGCGGCUUGCCAGAACGCGCUCGACGGUGAGGGAUGAAAGCUGGGGGGAGCAAACCGG